CUACAUUGAUUGAGAAGAAUUCGUAAAGUGUGUCCCAACCACAGACAACCAUAUGAACCAGAUCAAGAUGGGCUGCUCCUUAAAGUAAAAGGAUUCACCUAGCUAUGCCUAACUGGUUACUUAGAAGAUGGAAAAGAGACAAGCACAGAGAAAUGAAAUUGAGAAAACUGAGGCAGGAAAGACAGUAUGUCUUCUCCAAGGAUUCACAAUUCAUUUUUCAGAAAGCUGAAACCAGAGCCCAAAUUCAGACACUCCCAGAUAGCAUGAAGAAGAGAAAAGAAGAGCCCAGGGCUCACUCAGGAGAGAUCAAGUUCCAGCCCUUACAUCUGGCAGUUUUGUGACCAACCGCAAGUCACUUAAAAACUAAAUUUCACUAGUUAGGAUGACUCUUCAACCAUUCAAAAUGCACGAUUUAUUUUUUUUAAAUGAGAAAUCUCCACUCAACACAAAGACAGAAAACAGAUUUUCUUAAUUUAGAAAUGCUCACAGAGAUAUAUUCAUUGUUGCCAUCACCAAAAGCUUCAUCAUUAGUUGGACAACCUACUGAUGACAAGCCUCUCCCUAUUUAUUCUGGACGUUCCUCAGAAAAGUGAUUGAGUUGAAUUCUUUCCAUCCUGACAUAACCUGCCAACCUUUGUCACUACUGGCAAGGCCUUUAAGAUCCCAGGCUCACCUUCAUAACAUGAUACGAUCUCAUAAUACUACUUUAUGGAAGAAAUAAAAGGUAAUGUGGAAAGUAAAUAAAAGAAAUUGAAGCAGGGUGAAAUGAGAGGCUUCAGAAGGCAAAGAAGAAAAAUCUGAUCAAGAGACUCCCUGGGGGGACCUAAUCUUCCUGAGGC